rnacentral:rRNA from 1 species
AACGGGGAGGAGCCCAGAGCCUGAAUCAGUGUGUGUGUUAGUGGAAGCGUCUGGAAAGGCGCGCGAUACAGGGUGACAGCCCCGUACACAAAAAUGCACAUGCUGUGAGCUCGAUGAGUAGGGCGGGACACGUGGUAUCCUGUCUGAAUAUGGGGGGACCAUCCUCCAAGGCUAAAUACUCCUGACUGACCGAUAGUGAACCAGUACCGUGAGGGAAAGGCGAAAAGAACCCCGGCGAGGGGAGUGAAAAAGAACCUGAAACCGUGUACGUACAAGCAGUGGGAGCACGCUUAGGCGUGUGACUGCGUACCUUUUGUAUAAUGGGUCAGCGACUUAUAUUCUGUAGCAAGGUUAACCGAAUAGGGGAGCCGAAGGGAAACCGAGUCUUAACUGGGCGUUAAGUUGCAGGGUAUAGACCCGAAACCCGGUGAUCUAGCCAUGGGCAGGUUGAAGGUUGGGUAACACUAACUGGAGGACCGAACCGACUAAUGUUGAAAAAUUAGCGGAUGACUUGUGGCUGGGGGUGAAAGGCCAAUCAAACCGGGAGAUAGCUGGUUCUCCCCGAAAGCUAUUUAGGUAGCGCCUCGUGAAUUCAUCUCCGGGGGUAGAGCACUGUUUCGGCAAGGGGGUCAUCCCGACUUACCAACCCGAUGCAAACUGCGAAUACCGGAGAAUGUUAUCACGGGAGACACACGGCGGGUGCUAACGUCCGUCGUGAAGAGGGAAACAACCCAGACCGCCAGCUAAGGUCCCAAAGUCAUGGUUAAGUGGGAAACGAUGUGGGAAGGCCCAGACAGCCAGGAUGUUGGCUUAGAAGCAGCCAUCAUUUAAAGAAAGCGUAAUAGCUCACUGGUCGAGUCGGCCUGCGCGGAAGAUGUAACGGGGCUAAACCAUGCACCGAAGCUGCGGCAGCGACGCUUAUGCGUUGUUGGGUAGGGGAGCGUUCUGUAAGCCUGUGAAGGUGUGCUGUGAGGCAUGCUGGAGGUAUCAGAAGUGCGAAUGCUGACAUAAGUAACGAUAAAGCGGGUG